GCGAGAUGCACGACAUGGAGCAGCACCCAGAUCGAUCUAUCUCAUCAUUCACAUGCAGGAAAUCAAUCAGAGAGUGGUGCAAUUCACAUGAAAAUAAGACAUAAUGCAGCAGAGGCCCUGGGUCCCAGGGUGAGACAUGAUACUAAGAUGCAAGGCCCAGCAGAAGACAACUCAAGCUUGGUGGUUCUCCAGUGAAAAAUAUGGAUACGAAGAUGAUCUCACAUCACUUGUGAUUUCUGGCAGAUUUGAUCAAUGCUUGGAGAGUUUGGGCUACUGAUUUAGCUUUUACCUUGGGAAAGUG
rnacentral:lncRNA from 1 species